rnacentral:rRNA from 1 species
AUACGGAGGGUGCAAGCGUUACUCGGAAUCACUGGGCGUAAAGCGCGCGCAGGCGGGCUGAUAAGUUGGAUGUGAAAGCCUACGGCUCAACCGUAGAACUGCAUCCAAAACUGUCAGUCUAGAGUGUGGGAGAGGAAGAUGGAAUUAGUUGUGUAGGGGUAAAAUCCGUAGAGAUAACUAGGAAUACCAAAAGCGAAGGCAAUCUUCUGGAACACUUCUGACGCUGAGGCGCGAAGGCGUGGGGAGCAAACAGGAUUAGAAACCCGAGUAGUCC